CUUUGCUCCAACAUUUACUGAGGGAAGACAUGUCUCGUUGAUUAAAGCUUAUGGAAUCAACUAGUCAGGACAAAAAGAGGAAAUAUUAUAUUGUUUUCCUUUUGGGUGGGAGCUUUGCUUUUCUGGAUAAUGUACUAAUGUAUCAGAAUCAUUCUGGGAAGCAUGGAUGAGGCACUCCACCACCACCACCACCACCAGUUGUUGUACAUGUGGAACCAACUCUGAUUCUGGGUAUCCUAGCAGCACAUGCUCAUACAGAUAAAGCACAUCAUUGCUAACAUCAACUCCAGGAACUAGAGCCGAUUGAGUACAAGAAGAAUAUGAAGACAAAAUAGAAGAAAAUGAAGAUGGUGAGUCAUGUUGUGAAAAUUGGCUUACUAUAGAUGCCAAGAGAAGUGGAACACAAAAGGAGCAGCAGAGGAACUGAAGUCUGGAAGGGAUAAGAAUAUGAGUUUCCUCCAGCACAUAAGGUUCUUUUUUGAUAGAUCUAUGUGUUUGACUUUUGUACUGGGUUUUGAUCUUUGUGCUUUAAAGCACAAAAACUAGAGCACAAAUCUCAACCACUUUGCUCCAACAUUUAUUGAGGGAAGACAUGUUUCGUUGAUUAAGGCUUGUGGAAUCAACUCGAUUGAUAUAUCUUCUUUGGCCACCUUUGUGCAUGUGUUUCUUUGUUGAUAGAUCUGAUUUUGGCACUGGAUUUUGCCCAGCAACCUUCCUUUUUUGGUAUUGGUUUUGAAUAUUUGUAAUUUAUGCAGUUUUUGGGA